rnacentral:misc_RNA from 1 species
AACCAUAGAAACCUGCGGAGUACCUGCGGAAGGAUCAUUAUCGUUGGGCUCCUGCCCAUUCGAGAUAACACCCUUGCCUUUUUGAGUACCUUUUCGUUUCCUCGGCAGGCACGCCUGCCAACGGGGACCCUUCAAAACGCUUUGUAAUACCUGUCAUUGUCUGAUAUAACAAGCAAAAAUCAAAACUUUUAGCAACGGAUCU